ensembl:lncRNA
CGGUGGCUACAGCUUUGAUUAGACUCCUAGCCUGGCAACCUCCACAUGUCUCAGGAGUGGCCCUAGAAAAGGCAAAAAGACAAAAAAUAAAUAAAUAAAUAAAAAUAAAUUAAAAAAAAUAAAAUAAGGCAGUUAUAUAAGGUGAGUAGAAAGCAAAUCUGUAACCAUCUAAUAACAGUUCACAGAUCAAGGCAUAUAAAGACAAGUAGAAAACCUUGUUUGUUUGAAAGCAAAUCUAAUCUGCAGCUUCACAAAUACACAUAAAGUCUGUUAAGUUUCAUUGAUCUCUUACUUCAGUACCAAUUGAUGGUCUCUUGUGAGAUGUAUGGUAGAUUUGUUUUGGGUAUUUAUUUCUCAGAGACUGGGCCUUGCUCAUAGACAGUAUUAAGGAGGCAAGUGGGCCUAAGCAGUAUGUAAGUUCAGAGGAUCCCUCUUGCUUCAGAUAGUGCUGACUGGUUGGGUGAUGGGCCCCUUUCUCAAGGCCAGCCAGUGUAAAUAGUGACUGGACACCAUUUUGAUUCCUCCUCUUUGAAUGCGAUAGGCUUUAGACUUUUAAGGUCACAUGGGCUUGGAGACCGUGGCUGACUUGGGCCAUGUGCUAGCAAAAGUAACUAGUUAAGAGAGAAGAGGGAGAGAACAGUAGGCAGAAGAGAUCUUGUGUUUCCAGGCAUCACUUUCUCUUGAAUGUAAUUUUGAAUUUUGUAUUCCUUUUCUAAUAUUUCAUUGUUAGUAUACAGAAAUGAGACUGAUUUCUGAAUGUUAAUCUUAUAUCCUGCUCCUUUGGUAAAUUUGUUGAUGAGUUUGAGUAGUUUUUGGGUUGAGUGCUUAGGGUAAGAUUAGAUUAUGAAAUUUAUGAGAAUAUGUUCAAUUUUAGGUUGUGACCCCUGUUUCACUUUAUAGAAGUAAACUAGACUUGAUAUGUCAUAAUUUAUGUCCUAAAUUUUUAUAGACAAAACAUUCAAAUAGAUUCCAGUUUUGAUAUUGUGUUGUUUGUAUGCCUUGGUCUACUUAGUUACUUUUCUCUGGCAUUUGGAAUGUUAUCUGUAACUGGAGUUAUCAAGAUUUGGUCCCAUUUUCAAAAUUCAGGUUUAAAUGAAUGAGAAGUUUAGUUUUGUGUAUUUCAGUUUUUAAAGAAAAUGCUUGUAUUCCAUUACCAUUAAAAACAGGUAUGUUAAUUAAAGAAUUGGUAAUAUGAGAAGGCUUUAAAAUACAAGUUUGCAAUACAGGUUUCUUAUGGACCUACAUUUUGACAGCCUUUAUUUUGUAGCCAUAUACUUCCAUAUAUUAAUCAUCCAUAUAUGCUUACACAUAUGUGUAUGUGCAUAUAUAUCUAUAUAUAUAUGCGCACACACUUUUAUUUUGGUUCUUGGAUAAUCUGACGUGAAUUGGAGUGACUGCAAUACCUUUAAAGGUAUAGAGUACCUUUAUAUCACAGAGUGUGUUUCUUAUUUAGUUUGUUUUCUCUAUGAACAAAUUUUAUUUUUUUAGCUUAUACAGGAGAUGAAUCGCUUGGUCUUGUUUUCUAAGUACUGUUCCCACUGCCCAAAGGUACCUUUUUCUGAAUCUUUUCAGAUCCCCCACUGCUUUAAAAAUAAAAGAUUUUGGAGUUCCCGUCAUGGCUCAGUGGUUAAUGAAUCCAACUAGGAACCAUGAGGUUUUGGGUUUGAUUCCUGGCCUCCCUCAGCGGGCCAGGGAUCUGGCAUUGCUGUGAGCUGUGGUGUAGGAUGCAGGCUCGGCUUGGAUCCUGAGUUGCUGUGGCUGUGGUGAGGCCAGCAGUUGUAGCUCCUAUUGAACCCCUAGGCUGGGAACCUCCAUAUGCCGCAGGUGCAGCCCUAGAAAAGGCG